GAUGAACGCUAGCUACAGGCUUAACACAUGCAAGUCGAGGGACCGGCGCACGGGUGAGUAACACGUAUCCAACCUGCCCUUUACUCGGGGAUAGCCUUUCGAAAGCAAGAUUAAUACCCGAUAUAAAGGAUGGGGAUGCGUUCAAUUAGGUUGUUGGUGAGGUAACGGCACACCAAGCCUUCGAUGGAUAGGGGUUCUGGGAGGAAGGUCCACCACAUGGGAACGGAGACACGGUCCAAACUCCUACGGGAGGCAGCAGUGAGGAAUAUUGGUCAAUGGGCGCUAGCCUGAACCAGCCAAGUAGCGUGAAGGAUGAAGGCUUAUGGGGCGUAAACUGCUUUUAUAUAAGAAUAGGUAUUAUAUGAAUAAGGAGCGGCUAACUCCGUGCCAGCCGCCGCGGUAAUUC
rnacentral:rRNA from 1 species